CUGCCGGCCGCACCUUCCCAUGGACGAUGCUGCAGGAGGUCAGCUCGGAUUCCCAGCUGAUGAAGAGGAGCUGAAUGUCUGGCCGGGUCACGCUGUGCCCUGCGUUGGGAUAGUCCAACUCGAGGAUGGAAACCUGAUCCUCCAAGCGACUGAGGGCCUGUGUUCCAAUGUAGCUGUCAGGUUGGCUCUGGAAUAGUUCAAGAUGAUGUAAUCCCAGAGUGUGAUACUGAAAAAAGUGUCUGCGAUAUAUAGAUGUGAAAUCGUUUCUCAACAGUUCAAAAGACUUGUAAAACAUAAAUGGCCCGAUGAGAAACGGGGAUUAAA